rnacentral:rRNA from 1 species
UACCAGCACCCCGAGUGGCCGGGACGAUUAUUGGGCCUAAAGCAUCCGUAGCCGGUUCUGCAAGUCCCCCGUUAAAUCCAGCUGCUCAACAGAUGGGCCGCGGAGGAUACUACAGAGCUAGGAGGCAGGAGAGGCAAGCGGUACUCAGUGGGUAGGGGUAAAAUCCGUUGAUCCAUUGAAGACCACCAGUGGCGAAGGCGGCUUGCCAGAAUGCGCUCGACGGUGAGGGAUGAAAGCUGGGGGAGCAAACCGG